rnacentral:lncRNA from 1 species
AAACCGUAUUUAUUUUAAAAUUAGGAUACAAAAUUAAUUCGUAUUAUACCUGUACCGAAUUUUUGCCGAACCCGAAUUAACUAACUAUGGUUUAUAGUUGCAUUGUUGCUAAUGCUAGUUCAUAUUCAUACGAGCCUACUAGUAUAUAUUAUUUUUCGAACAAUAUCUGAAUAUGCAUCUGCGUCAUAUAUGAAUUCGAAAAAAUAUCCGACCAUGUCUAAAAUACUAUAUAUAAUAAAUUAAUAUAUAUUUAUAAAUAAAUAUAUAUAUAUAUAUAAAUAUAUAUAUAUAUAUAUAUAUAUAUAGGCCAUGGCUACUAUACUAUUAUGAGUAUUGGAGCGCUCGUACUCAUAAGUUGUUUUCAAUGAUGGAGCUUCCAAAUCGACAAUCCACUCCGUUAAAUAUGAUCUAGAGUAUUUGAAACUUUUAGAAAAUAACUUUCGUAAAUUUUCGAAAUCAUAAUAAAGUCCAUCAAGUGGGCAUAAAAUGAACGGUCAAAAUCGAACGACGUCCCAAACAAAGAUGAUCGGAUCCUUUAAUUCAAGAUCGGAGUUAUUGAUCUUUAUCUAUGUAGUGAAUAGAAUUUUCUAUCAAAAAUUCAACAAAUUCCGAUUCUUUUACACCGUUAAACUAGCAAGUAUCCCAUACCGGCCGUUAAAAAUUGUCAAAUUUGUGACCUCUUGAUCGUAAGAUAAAUGAUGUCGAAAAAUUAUAAAAUUUGAUUUCUAGAAGUUUUAAAUGCUGUAAAUAACGUUUAACGGUGUGGAUCGUCGAUUCGGAAGCUCUAUCACCGAAAACAACUUAUGAGUAUGAGGGCGGAAAACGAAAACUCGAUUUUUUUUUUUUUUUUUUUCAAAA